UACGGAGGGUGCAAGCGUUAAUCGGAAUUACUGGGCGUAAAGCGCAUGCAGGUGGUUUGUUAAGUCAGAUGUGAAAGCCCGGGGCUCAACCUCGGAAUAGCAUUUGAAACUGGCAGACUAGAGUACUGUAGAGGGGGGUAGAAUUUCAGGUGUAGCGGUGAAAUGCGUAGAGAUCUGAAGGAAUACCGGUGGCGAAGGCGGCCCCCUGGACAGAUACUGACACUCAGAUGCGAAAGCGUGGGGAGCGAACAGG
rnacentral:rRNA from 1 species